rnacentral:rRNA from 1 species
GACAGAGGAUGCAAGCGUUAUCCGGAAUGAUUGGGCGUAAAGCGUCUGUAGGUGGCUUUUUAAGUCUGCCGUCAAAUCCCAGGGCUUAACCCUGGACAGGCGGUGGAAACUACCAAGCUGGAGUACGGUAGGGGCAGGGGGGAAUUUCCGGUGGAGCGGUGAAAUGCGUAGAGAUCGGAAAGAACACCAACGGCGGAAAGCACUCUGCUGGGCCGACACUGACAUGGAGAGACGAAAGCUAGGGGGAGCGAAAUGGG